rnacentral:rRNA from 1 species
AGUGAACGCUGGCGGUAGGCCUAACACAUGCAAGUCGAACGGCAGCACAGUAAGAGCUUGCUCUUACGGGUGGCGAGUGGCGGACGGGUGAGGAAUACAUCGGAAUCUACUUUUUCGUGGGGGCUAACGUAGGGAAACUUACGCUAAUACCGCAUACGACCUACGGGUGAAAGCAGGGGAUCUUCGGACCUUGCGCGAUAGAAUGAGCCGAUGUCGGAUUAGCUAGUUGGCGGGGUAAAGGCCCACCAAGGCGACGAUCCGUAGCUGGUCUGAGAGGAUGAUCAGCCACACUGGAACUGAGACACGGUCCAGACUCCUACGGGAGGCAGCAGUGGGGAAUAUUGGACGAUGGGCGCAAGCCUGAUCCAGCCAUACCGCGUGGGUGAAGAAGGCCUUCGGGUUGUAAAGCCCUUUUGUUGGGAAAGAAAAGCAGCAGGUUAAUACCCCGCUGUUCUGACGGUACCCAAAGAAUAAGCACCGGCUAACUUCGUG